rnacentral:tRNA from 1 species
GGAAGUGUGCCCGAGAACAGGGACUACUUUGAUAGAGUAAAUACAGAGAACCAACCUCUCUCUUCC